GACGAACGCUGGCGGCGUGCUUAACACAUGCAAGUCGAACGGAAAGGCCCUGCUUUUGUGGGGUGCUCGAGUGGCGAACGGGUGAGUAACACGUGAGUAACCUGCCCUUGACUUUGGGAUAACUUCAGGAAACUGGGGCUAAUACCGGAUAGGAGCUCCUGCUGCAUGGUGGGGGUUGGAAAGUUUCGGCGGUUGGGGAUGGACUCGCGGCUUAUCAGCUUGUUGGUGGGGUAGUGGCUUACCAAGGCUUUGACGGGUAGCCGGCCUGAGAGGGUGGCCGGCGACAUGGGGACUAAGAUAGGGCGCAGACUGGUACGGGAGGCAGCAGGGGGGAAUAUGGCACAAUGGGCGGAAGCCUGAGGCAGCAACGCCGCGUGCGGGAUGACGGCCUUCGGGUUGUAAACCGCUUUCGCAUGUGACGAAGCGUGAGUGACGGUAAUGGGUAAAGAAGCACCGGCUAACUACGUG
rnacentral:rRNA from 1 species